CAAUGUCUGCGCAGCCAGGCUGAGCCGCACCAAUGAGAGGCCAGGGCCAGCCCCCUCCGGAACUACGCGACGGGACCUGACCGGCCGAGGGAGAAAACCGGGAGGGGCUUUGGCCGAGCAAGGAGGCCCCAUCACAAGUGAGGGCACACACGCAGCAGAGCCUUAGAGUGAGAUUACCAUCUGCCCAGGAAACCACCACAUGACAAGACCCCAGAGGCAUAGGGAGAGAAAAGGCUUUGGAAGCCCCACAUUCAGAGUCUGGGCCAAACUAAGCCCAGGAGAAAAGAUGUUGACAAAAACAGGCCGGGACAAGCCUCACCUCCAAAACACAGCCCACCGGGUCCUCCGGGAGCCACCGAGAAGCGGUCGGCGUGCGGCCAGAGAGUCACCGCGAGAUUCCUCCUGCUAACUCC